UAUAUUCCCGUUGCGUCUUCACAAAAACACAACCAAAAGAGCCAAGCCAAUCACACCUCACAAUCACCUAAUAUUACACAAUUAAUAACCUUAGUAACCAAGUACUAUAGGAUAUCAAACACUUUUAAACUAAACCUUAGUCCAAGGAAUGACAACCUUCUAAGGUCAUCCAAUUUAACAACCCAAAACUAAAAUCCAAAGGUUUGCCCAAAGAGGGCAACUCUUCUUCACACUACCAGAAGAAAGGCUUUAGCCGACGAAAAUAAAAAAACUUAGCCGACGAAAUUUUCUUUCGUUGGCUAAUUCAAAUUUUCGUUGGCUUUGGUCAACUUUAGACGAAGAAAUUAGAAUUUCGUCGUCUGAAUAAUUUUUUUGUCGGCUAUAGUCUGUGAACUUUAGCCGACGAAAUUUUUAAAAGUUUAGCCGACGAAAAAUAUAAUUUCGUCGGCUAAAGUGCCUUAUAUUUGCAGAUCUGGACAACAACUCAUCUGGGAAAAAAAAACUAUACGUAGAACCUUCAAACGCAAAAAAGUUGUGAAAUAAGAUAUGACCAGAAUGGUGAAAUACGUCUACGGUUGAAAAAUCACGGUAUUCCGGUAAAGUCUCAGUGCCGAUAGUUGCGGUCAAUGCAAUUUACCCUUUAUUAUUCACUAUGCUGCAGAUUUGGUGUUUGGUGUCCGAUUGACUAUUAUGAUACCUUUUCGGAAGCAUAACGGCCGUAUGAGUCUAACUCAUCGCUAUGCCAUGGCAUAUGGGCUUUUUUGGCCAUCCAAGUCCGUUUAGGGCUUCAAAAUGCAGUUUUCUUAUUUCCGAUUAGAGUUGACCGUUUCGAUCGAGCCCUUAACGUUUUCGAAUCCAGUUGAAUUUUUUACCAUAGACAUCUUUCGUCAUAAUGAUCAUAUCGGACGGUCGAAUUUUGGUUUGUAAAUUUCAGUCAUCGGAAUCACAACGUGUCUACUAUUUACCGUUAUUAUUCCUUAUGGGGAGCCCUAUCGUCGGAAGGUAAAUGUCUCAAAAUUUUUAUAUGGGCAGUUGCGUCUCAUCUACGUGAGAGUUUUUCGUGUGGAAGGUUUGACCAAACUACGUAAUAUAGAGGGAGAUAUGAGCGUUUUCGUGUGAUAAGUGCCGAUGGAUUAGGGUUGACCGUUUCGAUCGAGCCCUUAACGUUGUUGGAUCCAGUUGAAUUUUUUUACCAUAGACAUCUUUCGUCAUAAUGAUCAUAUCUAACGGUCGAAUUUUAGUCAUCGGAAUCACAACGUGUCUACUAAUGUUGUAUAACUUGUUUAGUAGGUUAUACAACUUUGUGAACUAAUUCAACAUAGGAAGCAAAAUUAUCAAAAAUCUCAUGAAAUAAGAUGUGUUCAUAAUGGUGAAAUACGGCUAUGGUUCAAAAAUCACGUAAAUCGGGUAACGUCUCUGUGCCGAUAGUAGCGGUCAUCCCUAUUUACCGUUAUUAUUCCCUAUGGGGAGCUUUAUCGUCGGAAGGUAAAUGUCUCAAAAUUUUUAUAUAGGCGGUUGCGUCUCAUCUAUGUGAGAGUUUUUCGUGUGGAAGGUUUGAUCAAACUACGUAAUAUAGAGGGAGAUAUGAGCGUCUUCGUGAAUUUAUACACUUUAGCCGACGAGAUAUUAAAAAAGUCGUUGGCUAAGAUCAAAUUUUUUUUGGCGGUAAACCAAAUUUGGAGGAAAAUUUUCAAAAGACUUUAGCCGACUAAAAUAAAGGACUUUCGUCGGCUGUUGUCAAAAAUUUUCAAAAUUUUCAACAAAAAUUUUUUGGCGGUCAACCAAAAUUUUCAAAAGAGUUUAGCCAACGAAAAUAAAUAAUUUCGUCGGGUAAAGUUCUUUAUAUAAGAGUUUUACCGGAGGUGGAUGGUAAGAAGUUAGAAAAUCAGAAAAAGUUAUGGAUUUUCUUUUCGGCCUAGCUCCACCGUCAAGCCACCGGAGACCGCCACAGUUGUCCCAAAAGCUUCCCCGUCGUCUCUACUUCAUUGCUGGAUAGGUGGUGCAUCGAGUGGCGCCGCCGUGAGAGAUAAAUCGAGCUCCAAAACUCUGCCGGUUCGGAUUCGGUGUCGAUCGAAUUUCUCCUUCCUCAGGUCACCAUUUGGUGAGUUCUAUAUAUGGAUAAGUUGAGUUUGAUUAGUACUACAUUCCCCUAGAAUUUGGUAGCUCGAUUCGGUGUGUGUAAAGAGAAUCGAAGAUUUGAAGUUUUUAAGGUUUAAAAUUGGGGAGUUUUAUAUUUUGAUUCAAUUGACCUGUUUAGGCUUAGAAUUGGGCUUCGACUUCUUCUAGAAAAUUGUUCGAAAUGUUGAGAUGAAGAUUCUGUCAAAUUUUGGUGGUGAUUGGAGGUGGCCGAAAGUUUUUGCAGUUUUUUUUUUUAAAAAACCAGCAACUUUAGCCAACGAUAUUUAAAUACUAUAAAGUCGGCUAUAGUAUUUUUUAAUUUUUUUAUAAGGUUUAGCCGACGAAUUAUGGCAUGUUUCGACGGCGAUAGUUAUUUUUUUUAAAUUUUUUAUAAGGUUUAGCCGACGAAACAGACUAUAUUUCGUCGGCUAUAGUUAUUUUUUUAAUUUUUUUAUAAGGUUUAGCCGACGAAACAGACUAUAUUUCGUCGGCUAUAGUCUGGAAAAAAAAAUUUUAUUAUAGACUUUAGCCGACGAAUAUCUUAAUUGUUUCGUCGGCUAAAGUCUGGGAAAAAAAUCGACGACAUGUUUUUCAUCGGCUAAACUGUGGGAUUAUAGCCAACGAAAUUUUUUUUUUCGUCGGCUAAAGUCAUCCCCGACGACCUUUUCCCGACGAUGGCUCAUCGGCUAAGAUCUUAGCCGACGAAUUAAGCAAACUGGCCGACGAAUCGUCGGCUAAAAUGCUUGUCCUGGUAGUGUCAAGACCUCCCAAGGUCCUCGAUCACCCAAACCUACACCUCCUGCAACUGCUAAAAACGGCUCCUACAUUCCAAAUCACAAACUCAACAACCUCACACAAGCUUAAACUUAAACUUAAAGUCCUAACAUGCAAUCCUUGCUCACAACCUAAAAUUCCACAACUCAACAAGCUCACAAUAAUAAGAGUUAGCUAACACCGAAACCUAGGGCUAGGAAACUGCCGGACGCGCUGCCACGUGCCACCCAAAAACAUCAAAAUUUGCACAAACUUCCAACAACAAACUAGUAGAUUGAAGUAAGGGGAGCAUCUUUUAUACCUGACGGUUGAGCCAAUUUGGCCAUAAACCGGCCGGAAAAGUUCAAAAACAGAGCGGCCAAGGAGAGCCUCCAAUCCGACUUCUAGACUUCAAGGUGAGGUGAAAGGAAGCAUGAAUUGUGCUUAAAGGGAAGAAUGCUUCAAGGAAUGGGCAGCCUCACCUCCAGUCGCCGCCGUACACGGCCGGAAAGUCGCCGGGUCGAAGACGGGUCCGCCACCCUCUUUGUGGCGUUCGAAUCUCUCACUUCCGGGUCGAGUCAUCCUCACCCACCUACACAGGGAGGACCUCGCCAAGGAGAGGAAGAAAACCUGACCGGUGCCGGUGUCCAAGUCGGUCAGAGGUGGCCGGAAAAGCCGGGUCAGGUCAAUCAGGUCCGGGUCGAGUCCGGAGAAAAUCUUAGAUAGUGAAGGUGAGGCGAGAGAGAAGGGGAGAAGAGAGGAGAGAGGGUUUUCGGAAAAAUGAAAUGGAAACCCUAAACUUUGUUAUUUAACCCAAAAUUUUCGUAAAGCCACGAACUUCCACUGACCACAACUUCCUCAUACGAAGUCCGUUUUAUGCGUGUCGCGUGUCUACGAACUCGUAUCACCAUGCUCUACAACUUCCGUGAAGGAAGUUUCUUGAGAAACCCAAUGAAUAAAAAGUCAACCAAAAGGUCAACCGAAUAAAAAAAUAGAAACUAGUAUCUAAAAUUCCGGGAUAUUACACUCUCAACAAGAGUGAUAGAAGUCACAAAACCCCUUCCUCAUCAGCUCCACCUCCACCUACGAGAUAGUUUUAGAUCUGCACCUCCACCUCCAUCUCUCACCUCCUCAAGAACUUCCUGGAGAACGUCAUCCUCAACUGCGUGACGUCAUAACAUACAUUGAGCACGCCUGGAUGAAGACGUACCGUCACCGCCAUGGAUGUUGUCUAUGCUCUCAAGAGACAGGGAAGGACCCUUAACGGUUUCGUGGAGUGAUCUGGGAACUCUUCUUUUUGUUAAUAUUGGGUUUUAAGUUUAAUAGUUAUUCUAGUACUCUAUGGUUAGAUUUGGGUUUCAUUAGAAUUGGGUUUCUGAACUUGAUGUUCAUGUAAUUUGCGACUUUUGUUUUGGGUAAAUUGAAUAUAAUUUUUCGGUAAAUCUUUGCCUUGAUUAUAUACAGUGAUUAAUUUAUUUCAUUUUUCUGGGUUUGUUCUUCUUGUACAUAUGUUCGAGACCUUUGAAAAUCUGGGUAGCUGAAUUAGUAAUACAUGAUUUACAUUCACUACCAGAAGAAAGACUUUAGCCGACGAAAAUAAAAAAACUAGGCCGACGAAUUAUUUUUUCGUUUGCUAAAGUAGACUUUAGCCGACGAAAUUUCCCUUCGUCGGCUAAUUAAAAAUUUUGGUCGGCUAUGGUCAACUUUAGCCGACGAAAUUAAAAUUUCGUCGUCUGAAUAAUUUUUUUCGUCGGCUAUAGUCUGUGAACUUUAGCCGACGAAAUUUUUAAAAGUUUAGCCGACGAAAAAUAUAAUAUCGUCGGCUAAAGUGCCUUAAUUUCGUUGGCUAAAGUGCCUUAUAUUUGCAGAUCUGGACAACAACUCAUCUGGGAAAAAAAAAACAAACGUAGAACCUUCAAACGCAAAAAAUUCGUGCAAUAAGAUAUGACCAGAAUGGUGAAAUACGUCUACAGUUGAAAAAUCACGGUAUUCUGGUAAAGUCUCGGUGCCGAUAGUUGCGGUCAAUGCAAUUUACCCUUAUUAUUCACUAUGCUGCAGAUUUGGUUUUUGGUGUCCGAUUGACUAUUGUGAUACCUUUCCGGAAGCGUAACGGCCCUACGAAUCAAACUCAUCGCUAAUGCCAAAAUGAAUGGGCCCUUUUGGCCAGCCGAGUCCGUUUAGGGCUUCAAAAUGCAGUUUUCUUAUUUCUGAUUAGAGUUGACCGUUUCGAUCGAGCCCUUAACGUUGUCAAAUCCAGUUGAAUUUUUUACCAUAGACAUCUUUCGUCAUAAUGAUCAUAUCGGACGGUCGAAUUUUGGUUUGUAAAUUUUAGUCAUCGGAAUCACGUGUCUACUAUUUACCGUUAUUAUUCCCUAUGGGGAGCCCUAUCGUCGGAAGGUAAAUGUCUCAAAAUUUUUAUAUGGGCAGUUGCGUCUCAUCUACGUGAGAGUUUUUUUGUGUGGAAGGUUUGACCAAACCACGUAAUAUAGAAGGAGAUAUGAGCGUUUUUCGUGUGAUAAGUGACGAUGGAUUCGGGUUAACCGUUUCGAUCGAGUCCUUAACGUUGUCGGAUCCAGUUGAAUUUUUUACCACAGACAUCUUUCGUCAUAAUGAUUAUAUCUGAUGGUCGAAUUUUGGUUUGUGAAUUUUAGUCAUCGGAAUCACAACGUGUCUACUAAUGUUGUAUAACUUGUUUAGUAGGUUAUACAACUUUGUGAACCAACUCUAUAUAGGAAGCAAAAUUAUCAAAAAUCUCGUGAAAUAAGAUGUAUU
rnacentral:lncRNA from 1 species